CGCACGGGUGAGUAACGCGUAUGCAACCUACCCGUAGCUUAGGGAUAGCCCGAAGAAAUUCGGAUUAAUACCUUAUAAUAUUAUGAAACCUCCUGGUUUUAUAAUUAAAGUUCCGGCGGCUACGGAUGGGCAUGCGUGACAUUAGUUUGUUGGUGAGGUAACGGCUCACCAAGACUGCGAUGUCUAGGGGGUCUUAAAGGAUGAUCCCCCACACUGGUACUGAGACACGGACCAGACUCC
rnacentral:rRNA from 1 species